rnacentral:rRNA from 1 species
CCUACGGGAGGCAGCAGUAAGGAAUAUUGGUCAAUGGACGAAAGUCUGAACCAGCCAUGCCGCGUGAAGGAUGAAGGUCCUCUGGAUUGUAAACUUCUUUUAUCUGGGACGAAAAAAGGGCUUUCUAGCUCACUUGACGGUACCAGAGGAAUAAGCACCGGCUAACUCCGUGCCAGCAGCCGCGGUAAUACGGAGGGUGCAAGCGUUAUCCGGAUUUACUGGGUUUAAAGGGAGCGUAGGUGGGCAGGUAAGUCAGUGGUGAAAUCUCUGGGCUUAACCCGGAAACUGCCAUUGAUACUAUCUGUCUUGAAUAUCCUGGAGGUAAGCGGAAUAUGUCAUGUAGCGGUGAAAUGCUUAGAUAUGACAUAGAACACCCAUUGCGAAGGCAGCUUACUACGGGAUUAUUGACACUGAGGCUCGAAAGCGUGGGGAUCAAACAGGAUUAGAUACCCUGGUAGUCCACGCCCUAAACGAUGGAUACUCGACAUCAGCGAUACACUGUUGGUGUCUGAGCGAAAGCAUUAAGUAUCCCACUGGGAAGUCGACCGCAAGGUUGAAACUCAAAGGAUUGACGGCUGAGAGNGACGAGACGACGACGAGGAGGAGG